rnacentral:rRNA from 1 species
AACGAACGCUGGCGGCAUGCCUAACACAUGCAAGUCGAACGAGACCUUCGGGUCUAGUGGCGCACGGGUGCGUAACGCGUGGGAACCUGCCCUUAGGUUCGGAAUAACUCCCCGAAAGGGGUGCUAAUACCGGAUAAUGUCUUCGGACCAAAGAUUUAUCGCCUUUGGAUGGGCCCGCGUUGGAUUAGCUAGUUGGUAGGGUAAAAGCCUACCAAGGCGACGAUCCAGAGCUGGUCUGAGAGGAUGAUCAGCCGCGCUGGGACUGAGACACGGCCCAGACUCGUACGGGAGGCAGCAGUGGGGAGUAUUGGACAAGGGGCGAAAGCCUGAUCCAGCAGUGCGGCGUGAGUGAUGAAGGCCUUAGUGUUGUAAAGCUCUUUUACCCGGGAUGAUAAUGACAGUACCGGGAGAAUAAGCUCCGGCUAACUCCGUG